AGUGGGAUAGCUGGGUCAAAUAGUGGUUCCAUUCCAAGUUUUCUAAGAAAUCUGCAUUCUGCUUUCCAGAUUGGUUGCUCAAUUUGCAAUUCCACCAGCAAU
rnacentral:pre_miRNA from 1 species